AACGAACGCUGGCGGCGUGCUUAACACAUGCAAGUCGAACGGAAAGGCCCUUCGGGGUACUCGAGUGGCGAACGGGUGAGUAACACGUGGGUGAUCUGCCCUGCACUUUGGGAUAAGCCUGGGAAACUGGGUCUAAUACCGGAUAGGACUACGCGAUGCAUGUCGUGUGGUGGAAAGCUUUUGCGGUGUGGGAUGGGCCCGCGGCCUAUCAGCUUGUUGGUGAGGUUAUGGCUUACCAAGGCGACGACGGGUAGCCGGCCUGAGAGGGUGACCGGCCACACUGGGACUGAGAUACGGCCCAGACUCCUACGGGAGGCAGCAGUGGGGAAUAUUGCACAAUGGGCGCAAGCCUGAUGCAGCGACGCCGCGUGAGGGAUGACGGCCUUCGGGUUGUAAACCUCUUUCAGUAGGGACGAAGCGCAAGUGACGGUACCUAUAGAAGAAGGACCGGCCAACUACGUGCCAGCAGCCGCCGUAAAAC
rnacentral:rRNA from 1 species